rnacentral:rRNA from 1 species
ACUCCUACGGGAGGCAGCAGUAGGGAAUCUUCCACAAUGGGCGCAAGCCUGAUGGAGCAACACCGCGUGAGUGAAGAAGGGUUUCGGCUCGUAAAGCUCUGUUGUUAAAGAAGAACACGUAUGAGAGUAACUGUUCAUACGUUGACGGUAUUUAACCAGAAAGUCACGGCUAACUACGUGCCAGCAGCCGCGGUAAUACGUAGGUGGCAAGCGUUAUCCGGAUUUAUUGGGCGUAAAGAGAGUGCAGGCGGUUUUCUAAGUCUGAUGUGAAAGCCUUCGGCUUAACCGGAGAAGUGCAUCAGAAACUGGAUAACUUGAGUGCAGAAGAGGGUAGUGGAACUCCAUGUGUAGCGGUGGAAUGCGUAGAUAUAUGAAAGAACACCAGUGGCGAAGGCGGCUACCUGGUCUGCAACUGACGCUGAGACUCGAAAGCAUGGGUAGCGAACAGGAUUAGAUACCCUGGUAGGAUAGCG